rnacentral:rRNA from 1 species
GAUGAACGCUGGCGGCGUGCCUAAUACAUGCCAGUCGAGCGAACAGACGAGGAGCUUGCUCCUCUGACGUUAGCGGCGGACGGGUGAGUAACACGUGGAUAACCUACCUAUAAGACUGGGAUAACUUCGGGAAACCGGAGCUAAUACCGGAUAAUAUAUUGAACCGCAUGGUUCAAUAGUGAAAGACGGUUUUGCUGUCACUUAUAGAUGGAUCCGCGCCGGAUUAGCUAGUUGGUAAGGUAACGGCUUACCAAGGCGACGAUGCGUAGCCGACCUGAGAGGGUGAUCGGCCACACUGGAACUGAGACACGGUCCAGACUCCUACGGGAGGCAGCAGUAGGGAAUCUUCCGCAAUGGGCGAAAGCCUGACGGAGCAACGCCGCGUGAGUGAUGAAGGUCUUCGGAUCGUAAAACUCUGUUAUUAGGGAAGAACAAAUGUGUAAGUAACUAUGCACGUCUUGACGGUACCUAAUCAGAAAGCCACGGCUAACUACGUG